CGCCGCGGCGGGCCCGGCCGGCACUUACCGGCCGCGGGGCUGCGAGGAGAAGGCGGCGGGCCGGGGCGCGGCGGCGGCGGCGGCGGCAGCUCAGAGUCCCCGGGCCGCUGCCCCGGGCAUGGCGGGGCCUGAGAUCAGGGCCCCGGAGAGGAGGCCGAGCCUGGCGCAGCCGUGGCAGCGACGAGCGUCGACGAGGGGGUCGCGCCACGUCAGCCGCGCCCGGGCUCCCCCGCAGCGCCCGGCUACCCGCCGCGUCCCACGUCCCGGCUGAGGGGCCGCUGGGGCGCCAGCCCCAUGCGGGAGGCCUGGGACUUCCCCAGGCCAGCGGCACAGGAGGGCGAGUUAGCGACCGUGGGGCUUCCGGGGCCUCAAAACACGACGCCCUGAGAUGGGUUUCCGUGCUGUAAUCUCUGUGGUCAUGAUGCCUGUACGUAAUUUGGGGACUUGGUAGAGACCAGAUCUUCCCAAAACGUGCACAUUCCUUAGCGUAGCUCUGUGCCUGAAUUACCCGCACCUUUACAACUUCACACCUUGGUUUCUCUUGCAUCCCUCAACUUCAUCUCUUUUAGGGUUUACAAACAUUUCCAUGUUUCCUCUAAAUAAAGUCUUUAGCCCAGCAAUGCACUUAAACACGUGCUUAACUAAAUUGCUUUAUGUCACUUGCUUAUAAUUAAGCAUAUGCUUAAGUGCUCUGCUGGCUUGAAGCCAAAAUCUGCAUAAACUCCAUUGGGUAAAAUUUACCAGCUUCAUAGGGUUUAGCUUUGUGAGUCAUUCACUCAGCAGCAGCCCAAAGCUUUUUGCCACAAGCUUGGUUGUUCCCAAGUUGUCCUACAGGAUCACCCUGUCUCUAGGACAAGCAAGGCUCAUGCCCUUCAUUCAGGUCCUGUUAGAACCAAGAUGCAUCUGCCUGGUGAGUCAGCAGCACUAAAUGACUUCACGGAGGGUUUCUAGUUCCUUUUCACGAGAUUCAUUAAUAAGGCUCUGCAUCCUUAUGCAGGUCAUAGAUUGUGCCAUGUAGUUACGGUGCAGUAAAUUACAUUAAGAACAAAAUAUUAAUGACAUUAGGGCCCAGUUUGAAGGUCUGCUGUGACUUCAUGCAAUAAGUGUAUUUCAAAAUAAUUACAUUGAGUACUCAAUCUGCAUGAACAGAGGAAGGAGUUAAUAAAAUGUGGUUGCGUUUCAUGCUUUCAUGUAGACUUUUACAUAAAUAUAAGUAGUGUCAUUAACCUGCUUACUGAACAAAAUGGGAAACUUUUUAAUUUCCAAAAAUAGAGUUCUAGAAACUAAAGGAAGAUGAACAUUUAUGCAGCUUUGAAGGAAAAAAAAAAUCAAAGACAAUUAAUUUGGUGACUCUCUUCAUUUUUACCUGUCAAAAAAUCUUUUGAAUUGCAUUAAGUCUGAGUCAGGCAGCUCAGCACUAAAACCUUAUUUUAAAAUACACGGAGGAUUUAAAGCUUUCUGCAGGGUGAGCACAACUCUUUCUCCAAGGACACAUCAAUUGGAACCUGCUUUUCAAAAUUUUGUUUGGCAAUUAACAGUAUAAUAUGAAGAAGAAUGACUGUCUUAUAUUUAAAGCAAAGAAGUGAAACUCAGCAUAUUUGGGUUCUGUUCAUUACUCUUCUGCCAUUCUUCUGUGACCUUAAUCAAGACCUGCUCCAAUUUUCAAAUGUCAGUUUGUGUUAAGGGGUGGGGUUUGUUGUUGUUUUUAAUAAGAACUGUUCUUAAGAGGAACCUAAAAAUUAUAAAGUUCAGUGGGAAUCUUACAGGGCUUUGUUCAUCUGACAGUCUAGCAAGAUGAAUACCCCCACACUGGGGCAAAUGUAGUUACAGGGUACUUCGGAACUUGGACCUUUACCUCUUUGCCACCAAUGUUUUUCAAAUGAGGAUGAUAAUUCCUCACCGAGUUGCACAGUUAUGACACUGAAGUUGUUAAGAUUAGUGUUUUGGCAUAAGAAUAUUAAAUAAUAUGCAAAACCAAAAAUCAGUAACUUGUCUGUAAAUGACAGACAAACUCAGCUUUUCCAUAGGGAAAAAAUAUGAUAGUAUUUAAUAUAGUCUUAUCUCUCCCUUCUGAAUUCCAGAAGUUUCCCACCCAUGAGAAACCCUCUAAUAGGCGAUGCAGCAUGGAACGGAAUACAUUUCAGUUUAAUUUGUUUUAGGAGGGCUAAGUAAUGGAAAGUAGGAGGUACUUCUCAGCCUUUUCUGUAUAAGCCCAGAGACUGAGGAAAAAUGGAAAGCACAAGUAAACUAUCUUUUAAAAGGAGCGGCUAUAGGGAAUCUUUGGAGGAAAUGUGUGUUUUAAAGGGUCUUAAAGAAGAAGUGUCUGUAGAAAAGAGUCUGUAGAACAAGCAGAACCAUCCAAUUUUACUUCCUUCCUGACAAACUGAAGGAUUUCAUUCAGGAGUUUCUGCAUCAAGCCAGUAACUUGCAGUGAAGCAACAGCUGACCUAGACAGAUCCAGUCUUGGAAUUCGAGAGAAAGAAAUCCACCCGUUACGCAGGUUUUCCACAUGCUUCCUUAGCUUAGCUGUUAAAGUUAUGCCUUCGUACUUGUCUGAAUUCAUCUAGCCUCAGCUAUUGGAUUUAAGGAUUGUCUAUCAGCAUUCUUACAUCUAUUUUCCAGGUCUUGUUUUAUCUUUGUAGCUCUUUUUAAAACCCUUCACAGUUUUUCAAGAUGUGUUUUUUUGUUUGUUUGUUUGUUUGUUUGGAAAUGUGGUUGUUAGUGUGGACCUACUAUUUAGCCCACAGACAGAGAUGAAACUACACUUGUUAGUUCAUUUUCCCAUAUGCCAAAUAGCCUCAUAACCUUUUAGCUUUGCGGUGGUGUGCAAAGUCUCGCAAUGUGGCUUGUCCUACUGACUCUGCUCAAGGUGAAGUUACUUUGAUUCCUUUCUGUCCUUCCUCAUGCAAAAGACAGAUACAACUUGUCUGCCUUCUCCCCCUUCCCAUACAAAAGUCACAGUUCACAGUUAAUAGUCUCAUUCCUUCAAAUACACACACUUCACUUCUCUCAAGUAAAAACAGUUCUAUUGAACUGUUUGUGUGUGUAAGUGAUCAGAGGAUCAGGGCCAAAGGAAACGUGAAAAGCAAUGUGCAUAUUAAGUAUCAGUAUUAUCCUUGAGUAUUUUAUAACCAUGUUAAAUCUCAAAAGAAACAGAUUUUAAGAUUAUUAUUAAAGAAUUCAUAUCAAUAAUUUAUAGAUAGAGAGCAUUACCUGAGAAAAUUUUGUAUUCUCCAAACAAGGUAUUUGCAAACAGGAAAUUCAAAACCAAGGUAAAUACAAGAGAAAAUUUGAUGUAUUAAGGAAUGGAAGUGCACAUUUCAUCUUGCUAAACAAUGUUAAACCUACCUUUUCUGUGCUUGUGCAAUCAUCAAACAAUUGAUGUUAAUAACUUUGGUGCAGGAUAAGAAUAGCCUGACUUUCAGAGAUAACAGAUGUGUUCUCUCCCCCCUGCCUUGGGUUGUUCUUUUAAUAUUAAAAACUAGUUCUAGCUUUA